CCCUUGGAUGUUCUGGGCUGCACGCGUGCUACAAUGGCGCUUGCAACAAGUCUUGCCAACCCGAUAGGGUGAGCGGAUCUUUGAAGAGGCGUCGUGAUCGGGACAGUUGAUUGCAAUUAUUCGACUCGAACGAGGAAUUCCUUGUAAUCGCGAUUCAUCAUAUCGCGCUGAAUACGUCCCUGCCCUUUGUACACACCGCCCGUCGCUCCUACCGAUUGAGCGAUCCGGUGAAUGGUUUGGACUGGCGUCAGAAGCGGUUCGCUCCUGACACUACGAAAUUUUGUAAACCUUAUCGCUUAGAGGAAGGAAAAGUCGUAACA
rnacentral:rRNA from 1 species